UACGGGAGGCAGCAGUGGGGAAUUUUGGACAAUGGGACGAAAGUCUGAUCCAGCCAUGCCGCGUGCGGGAAGAAGGCCUUCGGGUUGUAAACCGCUUUUGUCAGGGAAGAAAAGCUCCGAACUAAUAUUUUGGGGUGAUGACGGUACCUGAAGAAUAAGCACCGGCUAACUACGUGCCAGCAGCCGCGGUAAUACGUAGGGUGCAAGCGUUAAUCGGAAUUACUGGGCGUAAAGCGUGCGCAGGCGGUUCUAUAAGACAGAUGUGAAAUCCCCGGGCUCAACCUGGGAACUGCAUUUUGUGACUGUAGAGCUGGAGUGCGGCGAGAGGGGGAGUGGAAUUCCGCGUGUAGCAGUGAAUGCGUAGAUAUGCGGAGGAACACCGAUGGCGAAGGGCAAUCCCCUGGGGCCUGCACUGACGCUCAUGCACGAAAGCGUGGGAGC
rnacentral:rRNA from 1 species